UGAAUACGAGACGCUAAGGCGUCGAAGUAGUGUAUGUCAUACUUCCAAGAAAAGCUUGCACUGUCAUAGAUAAAAAACGCCUGUACCAUAACCGACACAGGUGGGUAGGUAGAGUAUACUAAGGGGCGCGAGAUAACUCUCUCUAAGGAACUCGGCAAAAUAACUCCGUAACUUCGGGAGAAGGAGUGCCUUAUUCUUAAGGUUGCAAUAACAAGAUCCAAGCAACUGUUUAUCAAAAACACAGGUCUCCGCUAAGUCGUAAGACGAUGUAUGGGGGCUGACGCCUGCCCAGUGCCAGAAGGUUAAAGAAGCUGGUUAGCAUUUGCGAAGCUAGUAACUGAAGCCCUGGUGAACGGCGGCCGUAACAAUAACGGUCCUAAGGUAGCGAAAUUCCUUGUCGGGUAAGUUCCGACCCGCACGAAAGGCGUAAUGAUUUGGAUACUGUCUCGGAGAGGGGCUCGGUGAAAUAGACUUGUCUGUGAAGAUGCGGACUACCUGCACCAGGACAGAAAGACCCUAUGAAGCUUUACUGUAACUUGAAAUUGAAAUUGGACUUUAUUCGCGCAGUAUAGGUGGGAGGCGUUGAUUAUAAUCUUGCGGGAUUAUUGGAGCCAUUAGUGAGAUACCACUCUUGUAAUGUUAGAUUUCUAACUUUGAAUCAUUAUCUGGUCAAAGAACAGUUUCAGGCGGGCAGUUUGACUGGGGCGGUCGCCUCCCAAACGGUAACGGAGGCGUACAAAGGUUUCCUCUGAACGGUUAGAAAUCGUAUCUAGAGUGUAAAGGCAUAAGGAAGCUUGACUGUGAGACCUACAAGUCGAGCAGGGACGAAAGUCGGUCUUAGUGAUCUGACGGUACUGAGUGGAAAGGCCGUCACUCAACGGAUAAAAGUUACUCUAGGAUAACAGGCUGAUCUCCCCCAAGAGUUCACAUCGACGGGGAGGUUUGGCACCUCGAUGUCGGCUCAUCGCAUCCUGGGGCGGUAGUACGUCCCAAGGGUUGGGCUGUUCGCCCAUGAAAGCGGUACGCGAGCUGGGUUCAGAACGUCGUGAGACAGUUCGGUCCAUAUCCGGUGUAGGCGUUAGAAUAUUGAGAGGAGCCUUCUUUAGUACGAGAGGACCGAGAAGGACAUACCUCUGGUGUACCAGUUAUCGUGCCAACGGUAGGCGCUGGGUAGCUAUGUAUGGAGUGGAUAACCGCUGAAAGCAUCUAAGUGGGAAGCCCACCUCAAGAUAAGUAUUCUCAUC
rnacentral:rRNA from 1 species